rnacentral:rRNA from 1 species
UACAGAGGUCCCAAGCGUUGUUCGGAUUUAUUGGGCGUAAAGGGUGCGUAGGCGGUUGCCUAAGUCAGAUGUGAAAUCCCGGGGCUCAACCUCGGAACUGCAUUUGAUACUGGGUGACUUGAGUACUGGAGGGGAGACUGGAAUUUACGGUGUAGCAGUGAAAUGCGUAGAUAUCGUAAGGAAGACCAGUGGCGAAGGCGAGUCUCUGGACAGUUACUGACGCUGAGGCACGAAGGCUAGGAGAGCAAACAGG